rnacentral:rRNA from 1 species
AUGCCAGAAUAUACAGUGUCUGACAGAGAUCCUAUUUUCACUAGUACCUUUUGGCAGACUCUGGUCAAAAGAACUGGCACUCACCUUAACAUGAGUACUGCUUACCAUCCUGCUACUGAUGGCCAAACAGAAAGGGUAAAUCAGCAGGUAGAGUGUUAUCUCAGAAGUUUUAUCAGUGCACACCCAAAACAGUGGAGCAAGUGGCUUGCAAUGUGUGAGUUCUGGUACAAUACCAAUUGGCACUCUGCAGUGGGUAAGACUCCCUUUGAGAUUUUAUAUGGGCACACCCCCAGAUAUUUUGGGAUUUCUGCUGGUGAUACUGUUGCUGCUCCUGAUAUACAACAGUGGCUUUUGGAGAGACAGAUUGUUUUAGAUUCAGUUACCCAUCACUUACAUAGAGCUCAACAAAGAAUGAAAACGCAGGUAGAUAAACACAGAACUGAGCGUGUUUUUGAAGUUGGGGACAUGGUGUUCCUCAAACUUCAACCCUAUGUGCAGUCAUCAGUUGCUUGUCGGGCCAACCAUAAGCUCUCCUUCAAGUUUUUUGGGCCCUACAACAUCAUUGGCAAAAUCGGUGAAGUUGCUUACAAAUUGGACCUACCUCCUACCAGUAAGAUCCACCCUGUCUUCCAUGUUUCACAACUCAAAAAAGUGCCAAUUCAAGUUCUUCUGUCUCGAGUCCGUCAAGUUGGA